CGCGGGGUGGAGCAGCCUGGUAGCUCGUCGGGCUCAUAACCCGAAGCUCGUCGGUUCAAAUCCGGCCCCCGAAACCA
rnacentral:tRNA from 1 species